UGAAAUUUUCAAGUUAUUUAAAUUCCAAAUGCCGCUACUAUAUAAUCUAACACUCGACCUAAUAUGAAUACAAGUUAAAUAUUAGGAAAAUACGCGAACAAGGUGUCAUUUCUUCAAUAGUUUGAAUACAACCAAUGAUUUAGUUCUUCACAUAUUUCUUGAGAUUGAAGAAUACCUAGAAUCGAAACAAAGUAAAGGCGAGGAAUCAAUUUAAACAGAGGCAGAAUAGCAAGGCAAUUUAGCAGUGAAUUAUCAGGUUAACACCAAUCUCGAGUCCCAGAAACAAUGUCAAACAAUAUCGAGCAGUUAACAACCAGUAAACAACCAAAAUCCUUACUGAAUAAGCCAAAUUUUGACUUGAAAAUGACUCCAGAAGUUUCAAAACUUCAAUUAUUGAAAACCAGGAUGAUUCAGGCCAUUUUGGACCUCAAAUGAGCAAAAAUUUCUAAUUAAGAUUUGGAUUUUCGAAGGUAUUGCAAGGGAACUUCAAUAAAAUAAUAUUUUUCUUUGGUUUUUUUUUUGUGUGGAAGAAAUUCAGAUCUAAGAGGAGUAUUUUGAACUAUAGGACUUCAAAUUUGAGUAUUUGAAUUUGAAAUUCAAAUUUCAGAUCUUAAACUUGCAGAAAAUGUGUAUUGGGGGAAAAUUUAGAAGCUGGAAUUUUUUAGGAAUUUUCAGAUUGUGUAAACUUGUAAAUGAAGG
rnacentral:lncRNA from 1 species